UGAGUAACACGUAUCCAACCUGCCGUCUACUCUUGGCCAGCCUUCUGAAAGGAAGAUUAAUCCAGGAUGGCAUCAUGAGUUCACAUGUCCGCAUGAUUAAAGGUAUUUUCCGGUAGACGAUGGGGAUGCGUUCCAUUGAUAGUAGGCGGGGUAACGGCCCACCUAGUCUACGAUGGAUAGGGGUUCUGAGAGGAAGGUCCCCCACAUUGGAACUGAGACACGGUCCAA
rnacentral:rRNA from 1 species